rnacentral:rRNA from 1 species
GACGAACGCUGGCGGCGUGCUUAACACAUGCAAGUCGAACGGAAAGGCCCUGCUUUUGUGGGGUGCUCGAGUGGCGAACGGGUGAGUAACAAGUGAGUAACCUGCCCUUGACUUUGGGAUAACUUCAGGAAACUGGGGCUAAUACCGGAUAGGAGCUCCUGCUGCAUGGUGGGGGUUGGAAAGUUUCGGCGGUUGGGGAUGGACUCGCGGCUUAUCAGCUUGUUGGUGGGGUAGUGGCUUACCAAGGCUUUGACGGGUAGCCGGCCUGAGAGGGUGACCGGCCACAUUGGGACUGAGAUACGGCCCAGACUCCUACGGGAGGCAACAGUGGGGAAUAUUGCACAAUGGGCGGAAGCCUGAUGCAGCAACGCCGCGUGCGGGAUGACGGCCUUCGGGUUGUAAACCGCUUUCGCCUGUGACGAAGCGUGAGUGACGGUAAUGGGUAAAGAAGCACCGGCUAACUACGU